rnacentral:sRNA from 1 species
GCUGGGCCUGGUGGCAUGUACUUGUAGUCCCAGCUACUUGGGAGGCUGAGGCAGGAGGAUCUACAUGAGUCCAGGAGUUAUAGGUCAGCCUGGGCAACACAGUGACACUCUAUCUUUU